rnacentral:rRNA from 1 species
CCUACGGGUGGCAGCAGUGGGGAAUAUUGGGCAAUGGGCGCAAGCCUGACCCAGCAACGCCGCGUGAAGGAAGAAGGCUUUCGGGCUGUAAACUUCUUUUAUGAGGGACGAAGGAACUGACGGUACCUCCUGAAUAAGCCACGGCUAACUACGUGCCAGCAGCCGCGGUAAUACGUAGGUGGCGAGCGUUAUCCGGAUUUACUGGGUGUAAAGGGCGUGUAGGCGGGAUUGCAAGUCAGAUGUGAAAACUAUGGGCUCAACCCAUAGCCUGCAUUUGAAACUGUAGUUCUUGAGAGCUGGAGAGGCAAGCGGAAUUCCGUGUGUAGCGGUGAAAUGCGUAGAUAUACGGAGGAACACCAGUGGCGAAGGCGGAUUGCUGAACAGUAACUGACGCUGAGGCGCGAAAGCGUGGGGAGCAAACAGGAUUAGAUACCCGAGUAGUC